rnacentral:rRNA from 1 species
GACGAACGCUGGCGGCGUGCUUAACACAUGCAAGUCGAACGGAAAGGCCCUGCUUUUGUGGGGUGCUCGAGUGGCGAACGGGUGAGUAACACGUGAGUAACCUGCCCUUGACUUUGGGAUAACUUCAGGAAACUGGGGCUAAUACCGGAUAGGAGCUCCUGCUGCAUGGUGGGGGUUGGAAAGUUUCGGCGGUUGGGGAUGGACUCGCGGCUUAUUAGCUUGUUGGUGGGGUAGUGGCUUACCAAGGCUUUGACGGGUAGCCGGCCUGAGAGGGUGACCGGCCACAUUGGGCCUGAGAUGCGGCCCAGACUACUACGGGAGGCAGCAGUGGGGAAUAUUGCACAAUGGGCGGAAGCCUGAUGCAGCCACGCCGCGUGCGGGAUGACGGCCUUCGGGUUGUAAACCGCUUUCGCCUGUGACGAAGCGUGAGUGACGGUAAUGGGUAAAGAAGCACCGGCUAACUACGUG